rfam:Halopiger salifodinae strain CGMCC 1.12284 genome assembly, contig: Ga0079850_13
GCCAGGAUGGCCGAACGGUAAGGCGCACGCCUGGAAAGCGUGUUCCCUUUGGGAUUCUGGGUUCAAAUCCCAGUCCUGGCG